rnacentral:rRNA from 1 species
AUUGAACGCUGGCGGCAUGCCUUACACAUGCAAGUCGAACGGUAACGGGCCUUCGGGUGCCGACGAGUGGCGAACGGGUGAGUAAUGUAUCGGAACGUACCUUUCAGUGGGGGAUAACGUAGCGAAAGUUACGCUAAUACCGCAUAUUCUGUGAGCAGGAAAGCAGGGGAUCGCAAGACCUUGCGCUGAUUGAGCGGCCGAUAUCAGAUUAGCUAGUUGGUGAGGUAAAGGCUCACCAAGGCGACGAUCUGUAGCGGGUCUGAGAGGAUGAUCCGCCACACUGGAACUGAGACACGGUCCAGACUCCUACGGGAGGCAGCAGUGGGGAAUUUUGGACAAUGGGGGCAACCCUGAUCCAGCCAUGCCGCGUGAGUGAAGAAGGCCUUCGGGUUGUAAAGCGUCUUUCGGCCGGGAAGAAAUCGUAUGGGUUAAUACCCUGUGCGGAUGACGGUACCGGCAUAAGAA